GGGCGUGUGGCUCAGUUGGUAGAGCGUUCGCUUAGCAUACUACAUUGUAUGCGAAAGGUCCUGGGUUCGAUUCCCAGCUCGUCCA